UGGGGAAUUUUGGACAAUGGGGGAAACCCUGAUCCAGCCAUCCCGCGUGUGCGAUGAAGGCCUUCGGGUUGUAAAGCACUUUUGGCAGGAAAGAAACGUCAUGGGUUAAUACCCCGUGAAACUGACGGUACCUGCAGAAUAAGCACCGGCUAACUACUUUCCAGCAGCCGCGGUAAUACGUAGGGUGCAAGCGUUAAUCGGAAUUACUGUGCGUAAAGCGUGCGCAGGCGGUUCGGAAAGAAAGAUGUGAAAUCCCAGAGCUCAACUUUGGAACUGCAUUUUUAACUACCGGGCUAGAGUGUGUCAGAGGGAGGUGGAAUUCCGCGUGUAGCAGUGAAAUGCGUAGAUAUGCGGAGGAACAACGAUGGCGAAGGCAGCCUCCUGGGAUAACACUGACGCUCAUGCACGAAAGCGUGGGGAGCAAACAGG
rnacentral:rRNA from 1 species